AUACGGAGGGAGCAAGCGUUAUUCGGAAUCACUGGGCGUAAAGGACGCGUAGGCGGGUUUGUAAGUCAGGUGUGAAAUCCUACAGCUCAACUGUAGAACUGCACUUGAAACUACAGACCUAGAGUAUGGAAGGGGCAGAUGGAAUUAGUGGUGUAGGGGUAAAAUCCGUAGAUAUCACUAGGAAUACCGAAGGCGAAGGCGAUCUGCUGGGACAUUACUGACGCUGAGGCGUGAAAGCGUGGGGAGCAAACAGAAUUAGAAACCCUAGUAGUCC
rnacentral:rRNA from 1 species